rnacentral:rRNA from 1 species
AGUGAACGCUGGCGGUAGGCCUAACACAUGCAAGUCGAACGGCAGCACAGUAAGAGCUUGCUCUUACGGGUGGCGAGUGGCGGACGGGUGAGGAAUACAUCGGAAUCUACUUUUUCGUGGGGGAUAACGUAGGGAAACUUACGCUAAUACCGCAUACGACCUACGGGUGAAAGCAGGGGAUCUUCGGACCUUGCGCGAUUGAAUGAGCCGAUGUCGGAUUAGCUAGUUGGCGGGGUAAAGGCCCACCAAGGCGACGAUCCGUAGCUGGUCUGAGAGGAUGAUCAGCCACACUGGAAAUGAGAAACGGUCCAGACUCCUAAGGGAGGGAGCAGUGGGGAAUAUUGGACAAUGGGGGGAAGCCUGAUCCAGCCAUACCGCGUGGGUGAAGAAGGCCUUUGGGUUGUAAAGCCCUUUUGGUGGGAAAGAAAAGCAGCAGGUUAAUACCCCGCUGUUCUGACGGUAACCAAAGAAUAAGCACCGGCUAACUUCGUG